GGAGAAGUGACCGAGUGGCCGAUGGUAACGCAUUGCUAAUGCGUCGUACAGGAAACUGUACCGAGGGUUCGAAUCCCUCCUUCUCCG
rnacentral:tRNA from 1 species